rnacentral:rRNA from 1 species
GACGAACGCUGGCGGCGUGCUUAACACAUGCAAGUCGAACGGAAAGGCCCCCACCUUGGUGGGGGUGCUCGAGUGGCGAACGGGUGAGUAACACGUGGGUGAUCUGCCCUGUACUUCGGGAUAAGCUUGGGAAACUGGGUCUAAUACCGGAUAGGACCAUGGUUUAGUGUCUCAUGGUGGAAAAAUUAUUGUUUUGGUGCAGGAUGAGCUCGCGGCCUAUCAGCUUGUUGGUGGGGUAAUGGCCUACCAAGGCGUCGACGGGUAGCCGGCCUGAGAGGGCGGACGGCCACAUUGGGACUGAGAUACGGCCCAGACUCCUACGGGAGGCAGCAGUGGGGAAUAUUGCACAAUGGGCGCAAGCCUGAUGCAGCGACGCCGCGUGGGGGAUGACGGCCUUCGGGUUGUAAACUCCUUUCGUUAGGGACGAAGCCACACCUUUUUUGGGUGUGGUGACGGUACCUUUGUUAAGAAGCACCGGCUAACUACGUG